CCUACGGGUGACAGCAGUGAGGAAUAUUUGUCAAUGGGCUCGAGCCUGAACCAGCCAAGUAGCGUGAAGGAUGACUGCCCUACGGGUUGUACACUUCUUUUAUAAAGGAAUAAAGUGAGGCACGUGUGCCUUUUUGUAUGUACUUUAUGAAUAAGGAUCGGCUACCUCCGUUCCAGCAGCCGCGGUAAUACGGAGGAUCCGAGCGUUAUCCGGAUUUAUUGGGUUUAAAGGGAGCGUAUAUGGGUUGUUACGUCAGUUGUGAAAGUUUGCGGCUCAACCGUAAAAUUGCAAUUGAUACUGGCAGCCUUGAGUACAGUUGAGGUAGGCGGAAUUCGUGGUGUAGCGGUGAAAUGCUAGAUAUCACGAAGAACUCCGAUUGCGAAGGCAGCCUACUAAACUGCCACUGACAUUGAUGCUCGAAAGUGUGGGUAUCAAACAGGAUUAGAUACCCCAGUAGUC
rnacentral:rRNA from 1 species